AAAAAACUACAAAAGGCCCACAGCACAGAACUAGACUGCACACGGCGAGAAAAGACAGCCGCAACAUGCAGGAAAAUAACACAAAUAAUCAGCAAUAAUAACAUAAAACACUGGACGUAUAGGAUUUAUCGAGAGCGCGCAUAGGAUAUAUUUGCGUGUCAGUGGGGAGCGAGCGCGCAUUUGUAUGUAUAAAAGUGUGCGCGCGUGUGCAUGACAGAGAGAGAGAGAGAGAGAGAGAGAGAGAGAGAGAGAGAUUUUAUUGUAAUGCACAGAACGACCUGCCCUCUUUUGAAAAAAAGCGAGAAAGCGCAGCCAUGCUUUGCAGAGGCUACAGCAUCGCUCUCAUUGGUAGUAUCAGCCUCUCGCCGAACGGAGUCUUUGCUUGUCCGCCGCUACACUGAAAAGGAACCGGGAAUACAAGCGACUGCCUCCGUGAUGUAAAAGAUCUGCAGUGAAGUAAUAAUGCUAGAAAUGAAGUUGAGAAAAAAAAAAAAAACCUGCAAGAAGCGCGGAUAAAUAUUAGCAGAGCACAGAGUGCUGGGAUCCACCAUAUGGCGUGGACCAUAUCAUGGUGCAUUCUGGGAUAAUGGAAGACUUUUAAGCUUUCUGCAGUUUUGGACAAAGACGGGGGGAAGAAACCCUUCACACGGAAGUCCUUUUUCGCCUGCAGAAGCGGCCUUGGACGUAUAAUCAUUUUGGCCGCAAAGAUACCUGCUGGCUGUUUUGCGUUUAAGUCAUGUAACUUAACCCCCUUUUUAUCCUCCAAUUGUUUUUUACAUAAUGAGGUAGGCCUGCACAACAACCGGGAGAGGAUUCGAUGUCUUAUUGGACCCGUGUUGGAUGCUUGGGAUUUGUUUUCCAUUUCUUUUUUGGCCAAACUUCACAUCCUGAUACAGUUUCUAGUCGCACAACACAGGCCUGCAAAAUCAUUUAAUUAUAGCCUUAUUUGUAAUGAGAGCUUUCGCGGAUAGGUUCUAAGUGUCUUCAGUAGAAUGAAUGCAGCCGGUGGACGGACACACACUCACACACACGCACACAUGCAAAAAAAAAAAAACACACACACACACACACACACACACACACACACACACACACACACACACAAAGACACACACAGACGAGCGGGUUGUGUCUCUCCGUGUUCACAGCGGACCUUGAUUUAAUGUCUUACAAUUAAGGCACGCGGUGAAUGCCAAGAGAUGAUCCUUCUUUCUUCGGAUGUCUGCACCUCCAACAAAAAACAUGUCACAUCUUUUAACUAUUUUUCUUUUUAUAUACAUUUUUUUACUGCUGGUGUCGCUCUCACGGUGAAGGUUUGUAUCUGUUUCAGACUGUAACGCAUUAUACAUGUACUGUUUCUUCCCUCCAUUUGUUCAACAAUAAAGUUAAUACACAACAA